AGAGUUUGAUCCUGGCUCAGAUUGAACGCUGGCGGAAUGCUUUACACAUGCAAGUCGAACGGCAGCACGGGGGCAACCCUGGUGGCGAGUGGCGAACGGGUGAGUAAUACAUCGGAACGUGCCCAGUCGUGGGGGAUAACGUAGCGAAAGCUACGCUAAUACCGCAUACGAACUCUGGUUGAAAGCGGGGGACUCGCAAGACCUCGCGCGAUUGGAGCGGCCGAUGGCAGAUUAGGUAGUUGGUGGGGUAAAGGCCUACCAAGCCGACGAUCUGUAGCUGGUCUGAGAGGACGACCAGCCACACUGGGACUGAGACACGGCCCAGACUCCUACGGGAGGCAGCAGUGGGGAAUUUUGGACAAUGGGCGCAAGCCUGAUCCAGCCAUUCCGCGUGCAGGAUGAAGGCCCUCGGGUUGUAAACUGCUUUUGUACGGAACGAAAAGGCUCUGGUUAAUACCUGGGGCUCAUGACGGUACCGUAAGAAUAAGCACCGGCUAACUACGUGCCAGCAGCCGCGGUAAUACGUAGGGUGCAAGCGUUAAUCGGAAUUACUGGGCGUAAAGCGUGCGCAGGCGGUGAUGUAAGACAGGUGUGAAAUCCCCGGGCUUAACCUGGGAACUGCAUUUGUGACUGCAUCGCUGGAGUGCGGCAGAGGGGGAUGGAAUUCCGCGUGUAGCAGUGAAAUGCGUAGAUAUGCGGAGGAACACCGAUGGCGAAGGCAAUCCCCUGGGCCUGCACUGACGCUCAUGCACGAAAGCGUGGGGAGCAAACAGGAUUAGAUACCCUAGUAGUCC
rnacentral:rRNA from 1 species